GAUUUGCAGAUAUUUUCUCCCCAUUCCAUGGGUUGUCUUUUCACCCUUUUGUGUCCUAUGAUUUACAAAAAAUAGUAAACUUUGAUGCAGUCCCAAUUUAUUUAUUUUCUUUUGUUGCCUGUGCUUUUGGUGGUGUAUCAAAGAAUUCAUUGCCAAAUUCUGUAUCGUGAAGAUUUUCCUCCAUGUCUUCUAAGAGUUCUAUAGUUUUAAGUUUUACAUUUAAAUCUUCGAUCCAUUUUAGUUAAUUUUUGGGUAUGAUAUAAAGGUCCAGGUUCAUUUCUUUACAUCUGGUUAUGGAGUUUUCCCAGCACCAUUUGUUUAAAAGAUAUAUGUUGUUUCAUUUUAUAUGCACGAUAAUCCUGGGAUGUGGCAUAACUGUUUUAUAGAUGAGAAAAGAGAAAUUAAAAUAUCCCUGAGGACACCCUAAAUGCCACCUCCUUUGUAACCUUGGUGUGCCAAAGGCAUAAAAGAAUAGGAAGAAGGGGGGAAAAAACCAAUUACGAUGUAAGGUGAGAAGAGGUUAAUGGAAAGAAAAGGAGGAGGGGGACAUGCAGCUAUCCCUGAGCAGGACUGAAAUGUGUUUAGGGUUCACUUGAGAGACCCUCUCCUGCCCUUUUUCUCUCCUCUGUCCUCCUCUGUCUGUGCUUCUCUGACUCUUUCAAGGUAACUCUGAGUUUGCUGUCUCUUUUGAAAUUCUUCUAAGAGGGUCCUUUAAAGUUUUUCCACAGUCUUUCCUCAGCAUGUUUUCUCAGCCUUAUCUGCUGUCAGUCCCUUCCUACCACUGUGACCUUGUCCUUGACACACUACUCUAGAAGCAGGC